GAGGGUAUAGCUCAAGAGGUAGAGCGCAUGCUUAGCAUGCGUGAGGUCCUGGGUUCAAUCCCGAGUACCUGCU
rnacentral:tRNA from 1 species